ensembl:lncRNA
GGGUAGUCAGAGUUAUGGUACAAAGUUUUUGAUCCUCUUGACUCAGUUGAGAUAAUUCUGAAAGACUAUCCCAGUUUCAGAAAUCUCCAUAGGAUCAGGCUCCAUGGCUCUGGAUAUUCUGGUUUCCAAACAGAGAACCCCUCUGUCAGAAGACACAGUAGGAGUCCCACCAAAUUUUAAGUCAAAAUUGAUUCCUGGACACUUCAAACUUCUUGUACCCAGAAUUCAGCAGAGACCAACCAGAAUCUUGGAAGAGCUGAUUUCAGAUGGGAGAAAUCAUGUGAAGUCAAUGGAUCUAACAGACACCAGGGGUGAACUGUAAUAAAUGCAAUGGUGUACCUCGCAGGUCCCUCCUUGGAGCCCAUGUGCCUAUACCCCAGCUGUCAGAGGUGUUGACUAUUGAUGGCUCUCAGCUGAGCCCUUCUCUAAGAACUACACUUGGUUUGUGGAAGCUUCCUCUUCCAGGGUUAUGUGCCUUCCCUCUGGGUAGAUUGCCACCAGUGACCGGUUGAUACGCAGUUAGGAAAACUGACCUCUGCCUCAGUGGGGGUGACCUGCAACUCUGAAGAUCCAUCCCAGCUCUGUUGCUGCUGUAUCAUCAUUAAACUUUUCCCUCUUCCCAAUCCUGUGUUCCUCACCCCUCUCAUGUGCUGUUCUCAAGACCACUUCCAAAUAAACUGCUUGCUUGCAAGCCAGUCUCCAAUUCAGGGUCUCUUGUCAGGGAAACUGAUCUGCAACAUUUCCUAACUCUGUUAAAAUGAUAAUUGUUUUGUCUUAGCUAGCUGUUGUAAAUGUGCACAAAAUUAUGU